GCAUCUACAACAGCAUCCAGCUCAAUACAUGCUGUAUUUGCUGCCUGAGAGUGAGCCGGCUGCCCAAGCCAGGUCUCCAGAUUGGAAAAUGACACGCCAAUCAGGGAAGCAUGUGGAGCCCAGGCUGCUGUAAUUCUCACCCUGCCUAAUCUGCUAACACAUUCUGGAGCUGUGGCGACCACAGAGCAGUGUCUGCAUCGAAGGAAAGCCAAGCAGCCCAUCUAUUACCUCCAAGAAGGGAAAAUGCAGUAAAUUCAGGAAAAACACUACUUCAAAAUGUCAGUGCUGCGCAAUGCUUUCAGGAGAGGGGACGUGGAAAAACAGCCAGCAGGCGCUGGCUGGAGGAGCCUGACAGAGGUUUGCAGUUGAAUUCCCAGGAUGCCGGAAAACAGAACUGCAGAGCCCCAUGGUCUAUUGUGAAAGUGUCUCAUCCACCCAUCUCUUCAUGGCAAGCCCAUUUAUUUUGACUCUGCCACACAGGGAUCACUAUCUUCCCACGGGCCUUGAGGGUCUUCACUCCUCCAGGGGUAAUCAGACUGUCUCCAAUUUGCUUUAUUAAGCCAUCUUCCAUGUAAAUGUCAGCAUAAAAGGACUGAUCAUCGUUGAUGAUUCUGCCUCCCUUGAUGAGAAGACGGUCACUCCCCAGUGAAGAGAAAGGUACUUGCAAAACUGUCUGUGCUCUAUCAAAAUGACUUGUGAUUUCUUAAGCUCUAUGGUUUCAGUUUUAAUGUCAACAUCACUGCCCAGAACAUGGGAGUCUAGAAUUGACCCAUUUAACAGGAAAUGGGCUAAUGGAAGGAUUAUUCUGUAGAGCAUCAUUACUACAACCAACCGUAACAAUGGUGAAUGGUUUUACCAUCUCAAAAGACUUUCCAGAGACUUCCCUGUUGGCGCAGUGGUUAAGA